GAUGAACGCUGGCGGCGUGCUUAACACAUGCAAGUCGAACGAAGCUCUUGUCUAAGAACCUUCGGGGGAAGAGAUAAGAUGACUGAGUGGCGGACGGGUGAGUAACGCGUGGAUAACCUGCCCUGCACAGGGGGAUAACAGUUGGAAACGACUGCUAAUACCGCAUAAGCGCACAGAACCGCAUGGUUUGGUGUGAAAAGAUUUAUCGGUGUAGGAUGGAUCCGCGUCUGAUUAGCUAGUUGGUGAGGUAACGGCUCACCAAGGCGACGAUCAGUAGCCGACCUGAGAGGGUGACCGGCCACAUUGGGACUGAGACACGGCCCAAACUCC
rnacentral:rRNA from 1 species